rnacentral:lncRNA from 1 species
UUCGUACGAGCCUGAAUUGUCCAAUUUCAUGGACCAAUCGAUAUCGGAUUGAGUCCAAAACUUGGGGUACAUCAUAUUAUGGUUGGAUGAGUCAUUUGGUGGGUUUUGAGUGAAAUCCAAUGGCUAAAACUACGCAAAAAACCUACACCAACCACUGCAUUUCCGAACGAACUUCGUACGUACCUAAAUUGUCCAAUUUCAGGGACCAAUCGAUAUCGGAUUGAGUCCGAAACUUGGGCAACAU